CGCUACGGAYUUAAAAUCCGUCGAAUUUAUAAAUCGUGAGG
rnacentral:tRNA from 1 species